GAUGAACGCUGGCGGCGUGCCUAAUACAUGCAAGUCGAGCGAACGGACGAGAAGCUUGCUUUUCUGAUGUUAGCGGCGGACGGGUGAGUAGCACGUGGAUAACCUACCUAUAAGACUGGGAUAACUUCGGGAAACCGGAGCUAAUACCGGAUAAUAUUUUGAACCGCAUGGUUCAUAAGUGAAAGACGGUCUUGCUGUCACUUAUAGAUGGAUCCGCGCUGCAUUAGCUAGUUGGUAAGGUAACGGCUUACCAAGGCAACGAUGCAUAGCCGACCUGAGAGGGUGAUCGGCCAAACUGGAACUUAGACACGGUCCAGACUCCUACGGGAGGCAGCAGUAGGGAAUCUUCCGCAAUGGGCGAAAGCCUUACGGAGCAACGCCGCGUGAGCGAUGAAGGUCUUCGGAUCGUAAAACUCUGUUAUUAGGGAAGAACAUAUGUGUAAGUAACUGUGCACAUCUUGACGGUACCUAAUCAGAAAGCCACGGCUAACUACGUG
rnacentral:rRNA from 1 species